CAUCGCCUCUUGUCCCCAAAAUAUAAGAGGUCCCGCCUGCCCUGUGACUAUAUGUUUAACGGCCGCGGUAUCUUAACCGUGCGAAGGUAGCGUAAUCACUUGUCUUUUAAAUGAAGACCUGUAUGAAUGGCAUCACGAGGGCUUAACUGUCUCCCCUCUCCAGUCAAUGAAAUUGACCUCCCCGUGCAGAGGCGGGGAUAUUUAUAUAAGACGAGAAGACCCUGUGGAGCUUUAGACCUAAAGUAAACCACGUUUAAUGUACUAGAAUUAAUAGCAAAAACUUAGUGGACAUUUAUUUAAGUGUCUUUGGUUGGGGCGACCGCGGAGUAAAACAUAACCUCCAUGUGGACGGGGAUACUUUCCCUAAAACUCAGAGCCUCCACUCCAAGCAACAGAAAUUCUGACCUUACUGAUCCGGUACAACCGAUUAACGAACCCAGUUACCCCAGGGAUAACAGCGCAAUCCCCUCUCAGAGCUCAUAUCGACGAGGGGGUUUACGACCUCGAUGUUGGAUCAGGACAUCCUAGUGGUGCAACCGCUAUUGAGGGUUCGUUUGUUCAACGAUUAAAGUCCUACGUGA
rnacentral:rRNA from 1 species